UAAGAAAGUGUGUUCCCAGGAGAGAAGA
rnacentral:piRNA from 1 species